ACUACUGAGUGUAGGCUUUGCCUGCUAUCUCUUACCCAUGUCUUUUGAGUACCUUACGUUUCCUCGGCGGGUCCGCCCGCCGAUUGGACAAUUUAAACCAUUUGCAGUUGCAAUCAGCGUCUGAAAAAACUUAAUAGUUACAACUUUCAACAACGGAUCUCUUGGUUCUGGCAUCGAUGAAGAACGCAGCGAAAUGCGAUAAGUAGUGUGAAUUGCAGAAUUCAGUGAAUCAUCGAAUCUUUGAACGCACAUUGCGCCCCUUGGUAUUCCAUGGGGCAUGCCUGUUCGAGCGUCAUUUGUACCUUCAAGCUCUGCUUGGUGUUGGGUGUUUGUCUCGCCUCUGCGUGUAGACUCGCCUCAAAACAAUUGGCAGCCGGCGUAUUGAUUUCGGAGCGCAGUACAUCUCGCGCUUUGCACUCAUAACGACGACGUCCAAAAGUACAUUUUUACACUCUUGACCUCGGAUCAGGUAGGGAUACCCGCUGAACUUAAGCAUAUCAAAAGCCCGGAGGAAA
rnacentral:rRNA from 1 species